AUUGCUUCUUACAACUCAAUUCUAUCUCUAUUGCAUUUCUUUGCUUUGCUUUUGUUCAGUACCAAGUUCUGUCUAGUUCUUCUUUAUCCUCCUUUUGUCCUGUAAGUGUUUGAUAAAAUUCUUCUUCAGCUUUACUAUAUUUUCCUUGCAGUUCUUAGCUGUUGAAAGCUGCUGAAUUUUUGCUUGUUUAAUCAAGGUCCAUUGUGUAGUUAGGCGUGUUGUAAGCAACUUUAAUUGUGUACAUCUUGGAUAUUGAAUGGAUCGGAUUGGACACUACAUACUUAUGGUGAAGAAAACUUAGCAGAUUGUUUGGUUCCUGAUCUCUCUUUGCACAUAUUAUGCAGGAAAGAGCCCUUUCAUGGCUACAUAGUACAAAAAAUACUUUUUGCUUAUUGUAUCACUUUGCUUUCAAUAUGGAACUAUAUUAGUCUUGCCAUCAAAUCCUUGAUUGUGUAACUAUAAUGUUUGACCGUUGCAGUUCGUGUGAAGUUUAAUAUAUCAAUUACUAGAAUGUUAUACAACAUUGGAAAUUGACAGUACAUUAACAAACCUAGAGGGAAUGAAGAAAGUAUCAUAAAUAAUGAAAAGGGUACUAUUGCUUCAUAAUGAGGGCAUUUUUGUCAUUUCUUGUGCUGAUGACACGUUCACCCUAAUUUGCCGCGUAAAAAGCAUCGCUUCUUACAACUCAAUUCUAUCUCUGCUGCAUUUCUUUGCUUUGCUUUUGUUUAGUACCAAGUUCUGUCUUGUUCUUCUUUACCCUCCUUUUGUCCUGUAAGUGUUUGAUAAAAUUCCUCUUAAGCUUUACUGUGUUUUCCUUGCAGUUCUUUGCAGUUGAAAGUUGCUGAAUUUUGCUUGUUUAAUCAAAGUUUUUUCCCUCAUCAAUAAUCUCUCUUUUGAUCUGCAAUUUUAUACAAAGGAGACAAAUGUUUCAAAAGAGUAGAGUUUUUGGAUAUAGCUUUCUGGGAUUAUCCUCAUCGCAGGUCCAUUGUGUAGUUAGGCGUGUUGUAAGCAGCUUUAAUUGUGUACAUCUUGGAUAUUGAGUAAGUCUCUUUUGGUAUUUGCUUCUCUUUCUGGUAUAGAAAACACAGUAAAAGUAGUAUGACUAUACUCUGGUUUAGAUUCUCUUGUAGAAUACUAAAAUUGUUGCGAUAAUAGGCAUUAUUUUCGUGCGACGAACUUCUAUUGCAGUGCAGGCAACAUGAGUUUGAUUUGCGUCUUUUUCUUUUCUUACAAUUACUUCAUGUUUUGCAUUGGAGAAAUAUAAAUAUUGUGUGCAAACGGUAAGUAUUUACCCGCAUGAACCUAGCAAGAGAUAAAAUCAGUUCUUAUAGUCUGAAAUUUUUGAAAUCAUUAAAAGUAUUCUUUGUCAAUUACAAAGAUGAGCUUCCGUUGUUAUUGUCUGACUAAACAACAACACGUCUAAUUUUUUGUUUGGAAGGAGCAGAGUUGUCCAAGCCUCAUUUGAGGCGCGCUUAAGCCCUGAAACUCAAAAACGCUCAGGGUAUGCGCUUCGCCUCACUUAGGUUGCGCUUCAUUAUAGGCAAUGCACUAAGGUGUGCGCCUCAUUGCCUAUGUUUGAAUAAAACGGUGCAAAAUAAAUAAAUAUAAUUGGCAAAAAGAAAUCUCAAUUGUUGAGGAAAUCACUAUGAAUGAAAUUGUCAUUUUUUUCUUGCAUUACAUAUAUAUUUUUAUUUUUUUCUUUGUUGCGCCUUUUUCAACUAAAGCCCACACUUCAAUUGCACUUUGCGCUUAAAGCCCCCUUUGACUACACUGGGAAGGAGUUAUAUUAUGUUGCAUCUUUAAUUUCUUUUGAUUAGUGUUAGCUAUGUCUAAAACUUAUAUACCUAUAAAGGCAUAUCUAUAAGUUCUACCUAUAAAAAAAUAGUUAUAUUAUGUGGGAACUUCUUGGCGCAUCACAAAAAUAGAGAUAGGAUCGUCAUGUCAACAAAAAAAAGAUUAAGGUAUUAAGAGCUAAAUGUAUCUUUCUGCUUCUUUCUUUCUAUGAAUUUGCUGAAUUUUGAUUCAGCUGAAUAGAUGAAAAACCGAACUUCCGUGUUUGAUACGAGUAUACAGUGUUAUAUGAAAAUUUUUGAAUUUCCAUUUAUGUCAUAACAUGUUUGCAGAUGGAUCGGAUUGGACACUACAUACUUAUGGUGAAGAAAACUUAGCAGAUUGUUUGGUUCCUGAUCUCUCUUUGCACAUAUUAUGCAGGAAAGAGCCCUUUCAUGGCUACAUAGUACAAAAAAUACUUUUUGCUUAUUGUAUCACUUUGCUUUCAAUAUGGAACUAUAUUAGUCUUGCCAUCAAAUCCUUGAUUGUGUAACUAUAAUGUUUGACCGUUGCAGUUCGUGUGAAGUUUAAUAUAUCAAUUACUAGAAUGUUAUACAACAUUGGAAAUUGACAGUACAUUAACAAACCUAGAGGGAAUGAAGAAAGUAUCAUAAACAAUGAAAAGGGUACUAUUGCUUCAUAAUGAGGGCAUUUUUGUCAUUUCUUGUGCUGAUGACACGUUCACCCUAAUUUGCCGCGUAAAAAUCAUCGCUUCUUACAACUCAAUUCUAUCUCUGCUGCAUUUCUUUACUUUGCUUUUGUUUAGUACCAAGUUCUGUCUUGUUCUUCUUUACCCUCCUUUUGUCCUGUAAGUGUUUGAUAAAAUUCCUCUUAAGCUUUACUGUGUUUUCCUUGCAGUUCUUUGCAGUUGAAAGUUGCUGAAUUUUGCUUGUUUAAUCAAAGUUUUUUCCCUCAUCAAUAAUCUCUCUUUUGAUCUGCAAUUUUAUUCAAAGGAGACAAAUUUUUCAAAAGAGUAGAGUUUUUGGAUAUAGCUUUCUGGGAUUAUCCUCAUCGCAGGGCCAUUGUGUAGUUAGGCGUGUUGUAAGCAGCUUUAAUUGUGUACAUCUUGGAUAUUGAGUAAGUCUCUUUUGGUAUUUGCUUCUCUUUCUGGUAUAGAAAACACAGUAAAAGUAGUAUCACUAUACUCUGGUUUAGAUUCUCUUGUAGAAUACUAAAAUUGUUGCGAUAGUAGGCAUUAUUUUCGUGCGACGAACUUCUGUUGCAGUGCAGGCAACAUGAGUUUGAUUUGCGUAUUUUUCUUUUCUCACAAUUACUUCAUGUUUUGCAUUGGAGAAAUAUAAAUAUUGUGUGCAAACGGUAAGUAUUUACCCGCAUGAACGUAGCAAGAGAUAAAAUCAGUUCUUAUAGUCUGAAAUUUUUUAAAUCAUUAAAAGUAUUCUUUGUCAAUUACAAAGAUGAGCUUCCGUUGUUAUUGUCUGACUAAACAACAACACGUCUAAUUUUUUGUUUGGAAGGAGCAGUAUUGUCCAAGCCUCAUUUGAGGCGCGCUUAAGCCCUGAAACUCAAAAACGCUCAGGGUAUGCGCUUCGCCUCACUUAGGUUGCGCUUCAUUAUAGGCAAUGCACUAAGGUGUGUGCCUCAUUGCCUAUGUUUGAAUAAAGCGGUGCAAAAUAAAUAAAUGUAAUUGGCAAAAAGAAAUCUCAAUUGUUGAGGAAAUCACUAUGAAUGAAAUUGUCAUUUUUUUCUUGCAUUACAUAUAUAUUUUUAUUUUUUUCUUUGUUGCGCCUUUUUCAACUAAAGCCCACACUUCAAUUGCACUUUGCGCUUAAAGCCCCCUUUGACUACACUGGGAAGGAGUUAUAUUAUGUUGCAUCUUUAAUUUCUUUUGAUUAGUGUUAGCUAUGUCUAAAACUUAUAUGCCUAUAAAGGCAUAUCUAUAAGUUCUACCUAUAAAAAAAUAGUUAUAUUAUGUGGGUACUUCUUGGUGCAUCACAAAAAUAGAGAUAGGAUCGUCGNUUCA